rnacentral:ncRNA from 1 species
UCGUAUCGUAGAUAUAGAAGUGGUUAAAAGGGAAACAGGUGUGAAUCCUGUACGAUCUCGUCACUGUAUUGAUGGAGUGCCUAUGCGUUGCAGUUUUGCAGCCACUGACGUAAGUUGGGAAGGUAGCAUAGGUAUGUUGAUGUCUAAGCCAGGAAACCUGCCAGUUAUUU